rnacentral:rRNA from 1 species
GUCUUCGNGCCCNCCCAUUCACGCACGCACGACUGCCAUCCUUACUUUACGAGCACCUUCUGUUCUCCCUCGGCNNGNGGGCAACNCUGCCGUUGGAACCGAAUAAACUCUUUUUNGCAUCUAGCAUUACCUGUUCCGAAACAAACAAUCGUUACAACUUUCAACAAUGGAUCUCUUGGCUCUGGCAUCGAUGAAGAACGCAGCGAAAUGCGAUAAGUAGUGUGAAUUGCAGAAUUCAGUGAAUCAUCGAAUCUUUGAACGCACAUUGCGCCCCUCGGUAUUCCGUGGGGCAUGCCUGUUCGAGCGUCAUCUACACCCUCAAGCUCUGCUUGGUGUUGGGCGUCUGUCCCGCCUCCGCGCGUGGACUCGCCCCAAAUUCAUUGGCAGCGGUCCUUGCCUCCUCUCGCGCAGCACAUUGCGCUUCUCGAGGNGGCUNCGGNCUCGCGUCCAACAAGCANCAUUUACCGUCUUUGACCUCGGAUCAGG